GAUGAAGAACGUAGCGAAAUGCGAUAAGUAGUGUGAAUUGCAGAAUUCAGUGAAUCAUCGAAUCUUUGAACGCACAUUGCGCCCCUUGGUAUCCCGAGGGGCAUGCCUGUUCGAGCGUCAUUUCACCACUCAAGCCUGGCUUGGUGUUGGGCGACGUCCCCUUUGGGGACGCGCCUCGAAACGCUCGGCGGCGUGGCACCGGCUUUAAGCGUAGCAGAAUCUUUCGCUUUGGAAGUCGGGGCCCCGUCUGCCGGAAGACCUACUCGCAAGGUUGACCUCGGAUCAGGCAGGGAUACCCGCUGAACUUAAGCAUAUCAAUAAGCCGGAGGA
rnacentral:misc_RNA from 1 species